ACAUCGUAACUGUAGUUAACAGUUUUGUUGAUUUAGUCAGGUCUGGAAAGAAGCAGCUAUAACAAAAUUGUAUACAGUUACGAUGAUGU
rnacentral:SRP_RNA from 1 species